CUGGCUCAGGAUUAACGCUGGCGGCGUGCCUAAUACAUGCAAGUCGAAUGGUAGCAAUACCAUGGCGAACGGGUGAGUAACACGUAGGUAACCUGUCUUUAAGCCGAGGAUAACCAUUGGAAACGAUGGAUAAUACUGGAUAGGACAUUUGAAGGCAUCUUUAGAUGUUUAAAGAUUUAUCACUUAGAGAGGGGCCUGCGGCGCAUUAGCUAGUUGGUGAGGUGAAGGCUUACCAAGGCGAUGAUGCGUAGCCGGACUGAGAGGUUGAACGGCCACAAUGGAACUGAGAACGGUCCAUACUCCUACGGGAGGCAGCAGUAGGGAAUUUUCGGCAAUGGGCGGAAGCCUGACCGAGCAACGCCGCGUGAACGAAGAAGUAUUUCGGUAUGUAAAGUUCUUUUAUUAGGGACGAAAAGACAGAUUGACGGUACCUAAUGAAUAAGCUCCGGCUAACUACGUGCCAGCCGCCGC
rnacentral:rRNA from 1 species